CGUUGAAGCAUCAGUUACCGUAUGAUCACCAAAGUUAAGCAACGUCGAUUCUGGUAAGUACCUAGAUGGGUAACCGUUUGGGAAUACCAUGUGCUGUAAG